ensembl:misc_RNA Metazoa_SRP Metazoan signal recognition particle RNA
GCCAGGCGGGGUGGUGCACGCCUGUAGUCCUAGCUACUUGGGAGGCUGAGGCAGGAGAAUCGCUUGAACCUGGGAGAUGGAGGUUGCAGUGAGCCAAGAUCCUGCCACUGCACUCCAGCCUGGGUGAUAGAGUAAGAUCCUGUCUUUA